UUGAACCCUGGCUUUGUAGAAGCAGCAGCAGCACCACCUUCACAUGCUGCCUUCAAAGAUUUGACCCACUUCACCGUUUCACACAUUUCCAUUCCCAUUUCUCUCACUAAACCCUAUUCUCUUUCAACCCUGUUUCUAACCCUUUUCAAACCCUAUUCUUCUUCUUCACUCUCACAACGCAACCACCGCAAGCUCGCCGGAAAUUCGCCGUGCCGGCAACCAUGCUCCACCAAAACCCUCUAGUCUCCGACAUCUGUGCCCUUGCUGUGUCUGCUACUAUCGCCUUCUCCUUCCUUAGGUUGUUUGAAGAGACUGCUAAACGAGCCCUCUUUGACCAGGUUUCUUCAAACGCCUUCUUUGGAUUCUUCAAUUAUCUCAAUUUUUGUGGUAUGUAGAUUAAAAAUGAGAUUCUUUUUUUGCUUUCCCCUUUUUUGCAUUUCUUGCAAUUUGAAUUGUAGUUGGGUUUAGUGUGACAACAGGGUUAGUUGGAAAGUGGUAACAAAAAACAUUGUUUAAGAAUCAUGGCAAGUUAAGCAUUAAUGAAGUGUUUUCUUUGUUAAUUGAAUGCAUAUCUGUCAUCCUUUGCAUAAUGAAGAGGACUUUUGAAUUGAAUUGUUUAGUUUUACUCAAGGUUGAUGCAGAGUAGUUGAAUUCAAAAAGUUCAUGCUCUCUUCAAUGAGUGAUGUUAUUUUGAACAUCUUAAAUAUGGGUGUUCAAGAAACAUCUCUUGUUUCUUAUUUGGUUCCUAGUUCCCUCAGUUUUCAGAAUUCGGUGAACGGAAAGUAGGAACAAGAAAUAGAUUUUAAAGAUUUUUUGUUUCCAUAAUUAAGAUAGUAGAAAACAAGUUAUGAAUCCAAAGCAUUUACUUAGUUUCUAUGUCUUUUCUUUCUUUUACAGGAGGGAAUAGAAAAAAUGUAUUAUUAGAUGCCUUAGUAAAACUUAUUAUGAAUAUGCUGAUAGGUCUUCCCCUUCAUCUACAUUGUUACAACAUGUGCGAGGUCAUUUUUGACACACAUUGCAUUUUUUCACAGAGAUUAUUGGAACCUGUCACUAUGAGAUUUUUGUUGGUAUUAGUUCCUGACUUCCUAGAUAUUGCUCGCUAUUAAAUUCAUAACUUAAGAUUUGUAUUAUCUUUCAUUGUGCAGUAGGCCGGUAGCAUUUAGUGAGUGCUAUCUUUCAAAGAUGGUAGUGCUUGGUUUUUGAACAUUUUUGUUCUUCAAACUAUAGAUUUGUGAUCAAUUGUUUCUUUUUUUAGAAUUUGAAUAGGAAACUUGUGCAUGUAAGCAUUGGGCUGAUUUUCAUGCUCUUCUGGCCACUGUAUAGGUAAUGGCAUAGUUCAUGAACUGAUGAGCUCAAAAUUCAGCUUUUUUUUUAGGUUACAGUUUCCAUUGUUGAAUCAUGCUGUUCAAUCAUUACAGUUCUGAUGGUUGGGGACCCAUCUUAGCUUCUCUUAUUCCGGGUAUCAAUAUAAUUCGGAUGCUUGUUAUCGGGCUUGGGAUAUACAAAGAUGAGGCCACCGUGAAAUCAAUGAGUAGAUUUGGAGAUUACAGGUUUCAAUAUUGUAGACAAUAAAACCUGGAACUCCUUAAAGGACCACUAUAUUAUGCUGCUACCAUUACUUUGGCAUCGGUAAUAUACUGGAGAACUUCACCUAUUUCCAUAGCUGCAAUUUGCAAUCUGUGCGCAGGAGAUGGCCUAGCUGACAUUGUUGGAAGGCGAUUUGGCGAUAAAAAGAUUCCUUACAAUAGAAACAAGUCCUAUGCUGGUUCAAUUGCAAUGGCAGCAGCUGGAUUCUUAACUUCCGUCGGG